AGAAGAAUGUACUGUCUCUGACACUAUCACUGGUACAUGGUGAUAACAAAAAGUAAGCCAACUUUUAGUCUGUUUUAUUAUCUUUAAGUACUUUACAGACAAUACAUUUCAUUACUGCCUGCUUCCCAUCCUCCCUACUUGUAGCUAUGGUUCUGAUCUUUGCUUGUGCAGUAUAGAUGAGCACAUUCUCUCCAGUUUAGUUUGUAAGGUAGAAAUGUGGAGAAUUCUUGUAUACAGAGGAAGGAACCAAAAGUCUUUAAAAUCUCAGAGGAGUGAGAAGGAAAGGAAAAUAAAUUUUAUUUCUGAAGCCAAAGAAGAAUAGUGGAAAUCUUUGGUCAUAUUUUUUGCUCUACAAUAAAGUAAUUUUUUAAAUUUUUAUUUGAAACAGCUUCUCUUGAAAAGGUAACUAUGUUGAUAACUCACAAAUACUUUUUUUUAAGUGCCAGAGGUUAGAGAAAGGGGGAAGGAGAGUGUAUUUAUAUUCUUGCUGACAUAUAUUAAGUUGUAGAGCUAUAUAGUCUAUUGUUUCAUUAUCAGAGUUUUUUAAUGAGAAACAUGUAUAAUUUUUCUUAUAAGCAUUAUUCUAGCUUGGGCAUUUCAAUUCUAUAUAAUUUUUCAUGUGUUUAAUUCAUAUUUACCAUAUAUUAAAGCAAAAGAAUUUCAAAAUAGCUCAGAUAACACUUUCAUUUAAAACUGGAUUAGGUAUAUUCAAAUUUUUAAUCAGCAUAGAAUAGGUUUUUAAAUAUCAGAAUCAGGAAGAUAAAAUAUACAUGUAAAAUGUACAUAGUAAAAAUUCAAAUAUUGAUCAAGCCUUAUUUGCACUAAUGAUGGGGUAAAGAAUUUUUAAAUGGAUAAUAUAAAACAGACAGUACAAAAAUUAUUUUUGGCAAAUAUAUGCAUUGGGAAACAUACACUACAUCAUACCAUGGUCUAAUUAUAAUCUGCUCUAUCUUUGGAAGCCUGGAAAUUGCCAGGAUAGUGAAAGGGAAGAGACUCUGGGUUAUUAAGAGAAUCCAGAAAGUGGAUAAACCAUUCAGGGAAAAUCAAGGGUUGACAUAAUAUUGUGGACUAGAGUCUCAAAGGACAGAGAGAAAAAUCAGUCAAAUGGGUUUUGAUGUCAUUUUUUUUCUAGAAAUGCCUAUUAAAUCUUAUACAAAGCAGCUAAAAAUACAGCUAUCUCUUUGGAAAUCGUUCUUUUAAAUGGAAAUGCUGUAAAAAUAAGACUGCACAUUUUCAGUAUGCACAAAAUCAAAUAUUUUAAAUGUUUAAAUUGUUUUGGUAAUUAACUAUGUUCUACUGUAGAAAAUCAUGGUUGAAGUUGGUGCUCAUUUUGCUCAAAGUUUUCCCUCAUAUCAGGAACUUGUAGUUUGUUCUAUAUAGUUUGAUGAAACAAAAAAAAUAGUUUUAUUUGCUGUGACCUUCAAAUCCGUUGCUAGGAGUUAAAUCUACAUACAUACAAGUAAAACAAUAAAUAUGGAAACAUCCCAACAGUCUUUUCCCAUAAUGUGUAUUCUUACAUUUUUCUCAGUAAUGACAAAUUCUUUACAUUUGCCAAGCUGUUUUAAACCUUAAGUAUUACCUUGCUUUUUAAUUCUUAGUUAAAAUCUUUCAGGAUUCUUAAACUUUGUAAUAUCUCAAACCAGGUUUUCUCAUUAACACUUAUUUUGUUUUUCUUUUAAACUUUAUGAAAGAAUAUUGUAGGUUAACAGGCAUUGUAACUCCUUAUUCCUCCUCUAUUCAUUGAUUCUUAGGUAUGGUAGGUUUUGAAUAGUUUAGACUCACGUAUUAAAGUGUUCUUCUUAGUCUGGCCUUACAUGUGUGCCUUCACUCUUUCAUCUGGCCUGCUUUUCUUCUGACCUUGAGUUAUCCCUAUAAGUAGUGAAAGUAUUUCACUUUCUCUAUACUGAAAACAAUCUUUUGAUUGUAUGAAGUGGGCAAUUUUAAAAUUCUCUUGAGUUCGUCAGAAUUAAUCACAUCAUGACUUUUUAAGUCAUUUCCCAAAGAAGUUCCAGACGUCCAGAUCAUUGUUCAUCCCCUGAGCUCCCUAACUCCUGUAGUGAAUUAUCAGUGUCCUGAAAACUACUUAAGACAGAGCAACCUCCAAGCAUAUAUGAAUUAUUUUAGAAUUGCCCUUACUUAAAACCAAAAAAUAAACUAAGUAUGGAGAAAUUAUUGAUAGUACAUCUUUUUAUUCCUGUAGGACUCAUACUGAGUGACUUUAGUAAGAUAAAACUCGAUUUAUAAAACAGUUUCAAUUUUGUGCCAUGUAUCUAUUGUGUGAGUUGUAAUAUUGCAAAUUCAAACAGUAAACAUCAAUAAUCACAAAUACUUGGGUAAGAUGUUUGUUGGGAGACAGUGAGAUAGGGUAGGAAACAUUCUGUAUUUAAAACCAUUUUACCACAGCUAGCUCUUAAGUCAUUGGCUUCUGAAUUUUAGUUUUCUCAACCAUAAAAUACCAGUUUCUUGUGAGGAUUAAGAGUUAAUGGAUAUAGAGGUAUAAACUUCGAGGUUUUGCAAAAUAAGGCAUAUUUCCUAUUAUGGAAAACUAGAGUGCUCUAUCAUUGCUGAUGAAAGACUUCUUCAAUUGAAGGCUCAAAUUCAGCUUUUAAAGUUAUUGUUAAGUAUAUAUUUUUAGCAGAAGAAUAACCAGUAGGGUGGAUCAAAUUAAUAUUUGCUUUUUCAUUUUUUUUUUUUAAGAUGUUCUCCUAGCUCCUCUAAAAGACUUGGAGCAGAAGUCUUAAUGUGAUGCUACAUUGGAUUUCCAAGGGCAUGGCUUAUCUGUUCAGACUCUGAUGUUUGCUCGUAUUCCACAGUUCUGGUUUGGUUUUUCAAAAUGUAAUGUUGGGAUUCACCCCAAAAAUCAAGGUUACUGUUUUUUGUCUUCUCUGUCUUUGCCUAAGGUAUAUUUUCUUGGACUCUGUAAAUCUGCCCAUAGGAAACCCAUAGGAAAACUGUAAUAGACUACACGCCCUGUAACUAGACUGUUAACUUCAAGGAUCAGGGAUGUUAUUCUAUAGUAAAUAUUUUGUGGAUGUAUUUCCACAACUGUCACGUUGUUGUUGUUUUCUUCAUGUAAUUUCAAAUAUAGUAAAACCAAGUUCUUGGAGAAAAAAGGUCAGGGUCCAAAUAAUUCAAUGAAAAUUAGUAUAUCAUUAAAAAAAUGAGAAAUACAUUCCAAGGAUAUUCAUUAAAAUGUUCAUUUCAGUUGCCUUGAUGAGGCAUUGAUAUCGUACAUUGCCUCCAUAUGUCGUAAAAUAGAAAAUAACAUGUAUCAUUCACAAUUCCUAGAAAUAUAAAGAAACAGGAAAUGUAAACCCAUGGUAAAUGGAAACAGAUCCAAAGAUAACCCAGAUGUUAGAACUGGUAAACAAGGACUUUAAAAUGACUAUAAUAAAUACAUUAAAGAAUCCACAGGAAAAGAUGGAAUGCAUAAGAAAUAGGGAAUUUCAGGAAAUACAUGUGAAAACUAUAAGAAAUAACCAAAUGUAAAUAUUAAAACUAAAUAUAACUGAAAUCAAAAAUCUAUUAAUUGGAUGGGAUUAAUGCAGAACACAACUUAAAAAUAAGUCUAGAAAUUAUCCAAAAUAAGGCAUAGAGAUUUUUUUUCCCCUAAAUUAACAGGAACACAAAGACUUGUGAGAGAGAACCAAACAGGAGAAGAAUGAAGUAGAAAAAAAUAAUUGAAAACAGAUGGCUGAAGUUUUCCCGAAUUUGACUGAAAAUAUCAACUUAAGCCAGCAUACCCCAAGCAGGAUAAGAAGAAAAGAAGACCACAUCCAUACCCUUAAAUAGUCAAUAAAAAUCCAAGAUAAAAAUUAAUUCUCAAAAGCAGCCAUGGGGGAAAAAAGUCACAUUACUAGCAAAUAAUGUGACAGCUGACAUUUCAUUAGAAACAACAAAGGCCAGGAGAAAAUGGAAUGGCGUCUCUGAGGUGCUAAGGUGGGGGAAGAGGGAGGGAAACCUGUCAAAUUUAGAAUUAAUACACAAGAAAAUAUCCUUCUAAAAUGAAGGCAAAUUAAACAUUUUCAGAUUAAAAAUAAUUUGUCCAUCAGUAACCCAUAAUACAGAAGUGUUUAUGGAAAUGCUCAAAGAAUUUCCAGAUGGAAAUUUCAGAUCUACAGGAAGGAAUAAAACCUAUGGAAAUGGUGAGUAGAGUAUGUAGAUAAAUAGAAAAUUUUUUCUUUCUUAGAUAAAAAUCAAAUGGUUGUUCAAAACAAAAUGAAUGAAAAUGUACUGUGGGAUUUGUAACGUGUGAAUAAAAUAUAUGACAUCAGACAAA